UACGAAGGGGGCUAGCGUUGCUCGGAAUUACUGGGCGUAAAGCGCACGUAGGCGGCUUUGUAAGUUGGAGGUGAAAGCCCGGGGCUCAACCCCGGAAUUGCCUUUAAGACUGCAUCGCUUGAAUCCGGGAGAGGUGAGUGGAAUUCCGAGUGUAGAGGUGAAAUUCGUAGAUAUUCGGAAGAACACCAGUGGCGAAGGCGGCUCACUGGACCGGUAUUGACGCUGAGGUGCGAAAGCGUGGGGAGCAAACAGG
rnacentral:rRNA from 1 species